CCCCUCUGGGAUCGCUGCUGGGACAGGGCAGGGAGAGAUCCAAACCAGGAAUGUAGGACUUCACACUAAUAAAUACCUCGACCAAAGCUCCAGGGACUGAGAUACCCGGCCUGUUCCUCACUGCAGCCGGGCUGGCAGCGGGAGCGCAGCGGCCUGGGGGCAAACAGCCCUGAAAUCCAGCACGUGGGCAUCGCUUUGGGUUUCCCCAUUUCUGCCCUGAGCCCUGGUAAGGAAACUGUCUGGUUCAUUGUCAUCUCUCUGACUGUGCAGUGAGGAAUCGGAGUGACCCGCUUGCAAAACAAGGAGAUCAGUUAAUUUACCGUUACUCUGCUUGGACUAGAAAGUGUUUCCUGUGUACACCUUGAUGGCACAAGUGGAAUGAGGUCUCAGUGGACUUCUUCAGAGGAAGAGAGAUAUAUUUUAAACAUGUUUGUGCAUGUAUAUAUGUUUAUAGAUGCGUAAUAAUGCACUUAAAUCCUUAAUUCCAUGCUGACUGACACUAAGCUGUGCUAUAGGGACACUGAGUUUAAUGCUUUUUAAUUAGAGAUUGGCUAAAUGAGACUCCUGUACUAAUUCCCACUAAUACAUGGAUAGGCAGUGAAGAUAAAGGUACGAGAAGACACGGCCAUAUUCUGGUUUUAAAAAACGGGGUGCUGUUAGGUUUUAAUUCAGGUUUAAGGACAGAGCAGCAGUUCCUGCAGCACACUAGGAAACAGGAAUUGUCUCUGCCUGGACCAACAGAGCUUCUCUGUGCACUUAAACGUGAACCUGGUGACUGAUGCACCCCCUCUUUUAAUCCCCAAACCUUUGUAGUGUCAGUCAGGAUGCUUUCAGGCCACCUUGUGUCAGACGA